rnacentral:misc_RNA from 1 species
GAUGAAGAACGUAGCGAAAUGCGAUAAGUAAUGUGAAUUGCAGAAUUCAGUGAAUCAUCGAAUCUUUGAACGCACAUUGCGCCCCCUGGUAUUCCGGGGGGCAUGCCUGUUCGAGCGUCAUUUCACCACUCAAGCCUCGCUUGGUAUUGGGCAACGCGGUCCGCCGCGUGCCUCAAAUCGACCGGCUGGGUCUUCUGUCCCCUAAGCGUUGUGGAAACUAUUCGCUAAAGGGUGUUCGGGAGGCUACGCCGUAAAACAACCCCAUUUCUAAGGUUAACCUCGGAUCAGGUAGGGAUACCCGCUGAACUUAAGCAUAUCAAUAAGCGGAGGA